AGAGUUUGAUCAUGGCUCAGGAUGAACGCUGGCGGCGUGCCUAAUACAUGCAAGUCGAGCGGUAAGGCUUUCACAGAUUAUUUGAACGGAUAAGUCCAUUAAUACGGAUACUGUUUGAAUAUAUUUAUUACUAGGCUAGUAAUAAAUAGUCGAAUAAUGUGUGAAAGUACACGAGCGGCGGACGGCUGAGUAACGCGUAGGAACGUACCCUGAACUGAGGGAUAAUUCGCCGAAAGGCGGACUAAUACCGCAUGUGGUCUAAGGAUUAAAGCUUCGGCGGUUCGGGAGCGGCCUGCGUAUGAUUAGCUUGUUGGUGAGGUAAUGGCUCACCAAGGCGACGAUCAUUAGCUGGUCUGAGAGGAUGAUCAGCCAGACUGGGACUGAGACACGGCCCAGACUCCUACGGGAGGCAGCAGUAGGGAAUUUUCCACAAUGGGCGAAAGCCUGAUGGAGCAACGCCGCGUGCAGGAUGAAGGCCUUCGGGUCGUAAACUGCUUUUAUGAGUGAAGAUUUUAGACAGUAGCUCAAGAAUAAGGGUCGGCUAACUACGUGCCAGCAGCCGCGGUCAUACGUAGGACCCAAGCGUUAUCCGGAAUUACUGGGUGUAAAGAGUUGCGUAGGCGGCUUGUUAAGCAAGGUGUGAAAGCGUUCCGCUCAACGGAAUAAACAUACCUUGAACUGGCAAGCUAGAGAGUGAGAGAGGUUACUGGAAUUCCAAGUGUAGGAGUGAAAUCCGUAGAUAUUUGGAGGAACACCGAUGGCGUAGGCAGGUAACUGGCUCAUUUCUGACGCUCAGGCACGAAAGCGUGGGGAGCAAACGGGAUUAGAUACCCCGGUAGUCCACGCCCUAAACUAUGGAUGCUAGCUGUUAGUCGUAUCGACCCGAUUAGUAGCAAAGCUAACGCGUUAAGCAUCCCACCUGUGGAGUACGGUCGCAAGACUAAAACAUAAAGGAAUUGACGGGGACCCGCACAAGCGGUGGAGCGUGUUGUUUAAUUCGAUGAUAAGCGAAGAACCUUACCCAGGCUUGACAUCCUUGGAAUUUCAUCGAAAGAUGAGAGUGCUUUUAGAGCCAAGUGACAGGUGUUGCAUGGCCGUCGUCAGCUCGUGUCGUGAGAUGUUUGGUUAAGUCCAUCAACGAGCGCAACCCUUAUAACUAGUUGGAUUUCUCUAGUUAGACUGCCCUGGUAACAGGGAGGAAGGGGGGGAUGAUGUCAGGUCAGUAUUACCCUUACGUCUGGGGCUACAAACACGCUACAAUGGCCGGUACAAAGGGAAGCCAACCCGCGAGGGGGAGCAAAUCCCAUCAAAGCCGGUCUCAGUUCGGAUUGCAGGCUGAAACUCGCCUGCAUGAAGCUGGAAUCGCUAGUAACGGUAAGUCAGCACAUUACCGUGAAUACGUUCCCGGGUCUUGUACACACCGCCCGUC
rnacentral:rRNA from 1 species